rnacentral:lncRNA from 1 species
CAGGUGCGGUGCUGGCGCCGAGAGAUGAAGAAUGCAUCGCUCUUUCAUGACUCAUACUUGGGUUGUGGACGCCAAAAUGAUACGGUCUCCUUACUUCUCAAUAGUACAUGUCUUUUGGUUGACCCUGAUCAAAUCAAUGACUCAUACACCUUCAAUUUUGGAAUAUUUUUCGAUGCUCAACAAUCCCGUGUGAUAGAUGCAACAACUGAUUUUCCUCAGAAGUUCUUCUACUGUUUUUGGUGGGGUUUGCGCGGUUUAAGGUUGGUGAAUGAUACUUUGUGUUCUUCUCUUAAUUUUGCCUUCAUCAUAUAACCUUUAGUGGAGCUAACAUGUAGGAAACAAAACAAAAAAAUACGAGACUAAUAACAUGCCAAAAGUAAUAAAUUUUGUAAUAUGUUACAGUUCUCUUGGACAAAACCUCAAGACAAGUACUUAUGUCCCGGAGAUAGCCUUUGCAAUUUUCAUUGCCAUCUUUGGACUAUUUUUAUUCUCACUACUUAUUGGAAACAUGCAGGUAAGUGUUGAUAAGGCCUAUUAUUAGAUCUUAGAGAUGAAAUGUUUUUCACAUAUAUAUUUUAUGGAGAACUUCUUGACACUCAAAUUAACAAAAAAAAAAAACAAACACAUAGGCUUAUUUAUAGAUUAUGUUGAACAUUGUUACAGAAAUAUCUGGAAUCUACAACUGUUAGGGAGGAAGAGAUGAGAGUGAAGAGGAGGGAUGCAGAACGGUGGAUGUCGCACCGUAUGUUACCUGAUAACUUGAAGCAAAGAAUUAGAAGGUAUGAACAAUACAAAUGGCAAGAAAAUAGAGGUGUUGAAGAGGAGACAUUAAUUCAUAACCUCCCUAAAGAUCUCAGAAGGGACAUAAAGCGUCACCUUUGCUUAGCUUUAGUCAAGAAAGUGAGUAACAUUCAUAAUAUCAUUUCACCAUCUAAUUUUUUUUGUCCAAUUAUAUGUACUAUAUUGCACAUGUGAUGUGUAAUAAGCAUUUCAUGUACUUUAAUGUUGCAUUAGGUGCCAAUGUUUGAGAAAAUGGAUGGGCAAUUGUUAGAUGCAAUGUGUGAUAGACUGAAGCCAGUUCUAUAUACAGAGAAGAGUUGCAUUGUUCGCGAAGAGGAUCCGGUCGAUGAAAUGCUUUUCAUUAUGCGUGGAAAAGUUGCUACCAUGACUACAAAUGGUGGAAGAACUGGUUUCUUCAACUCCUUAUUUCUAAUGCCUGGUGAUUUUUGUGGAGAGGAGCUUCUAACAUGGGCUUUGGAUCCUAACUCAUCCUCAAAUCUACCUACUUCAACUAGAACAGUUGAAACUAUAUCUGAAGUUGAAGCAUUUGCACUCAUGGCUGAUGACUUGAAGUUUGUUGCUUCCCAAUUUAGACGUCUUAUAAACAGCAAACAACUCCAACACACUUUUAGGCAAGGCUUGAUAUCGUGCUUUCUCCUUUUCUGUUUUAAUUUGAUGAUUCACCAUUACAUUUUAUGAAUAAGUGGAGUUCUACAUUAAAUAGGUUCUGACUUUUGAGAGUAAUGUGCUUAUAUAGUCUCAUCAAAUUCAAUUUGGGUUUAUCUUAUAACAUUAGCACAUGUAUAUGUAUUUGGAAGAGCUUACGAAAAUAACAUGUGACAUGCUCAUAUAUAGGUUGUUUUCAUCUUGGUUCAGUAAGCUGUGCAGAAUAGCUUAUAAAUACAGUUUAUAUCUUGUGUGAAAACAAUUUAACCGCAUUACCUCUUUGACAAGAGAUAUAACUCAUACAUAAAGGCUUAAUUUUAAAACAAAAAAAGAAUUUAUUGGUUAAACUUGUUCAACAAUAUAUACUUUUGCAGGUUAUAUUCACCCCAAUGGAAGACAUGGGCUGCAUGUUUCAUACAAGCGGCCUGGCGGCGAUACCGGAAAAAGAAGAUUGAUAGGACAUUGCGUGAAGCAGAAGACAAGCUACAAAAUGCUUUGGCAAAUGAGGAAGGAUCAACUAUAAGCCUUGGUGCAACCAUAUAUGCAUCAAGGUUUGCUGCAAAUGCAUUACGAAACUUGAGAGAAAAUAACAGACACAACAGAAUGCCGCAGAGACUAUUGCCUCUUUUGCCUCCAAAGCCAGCUGAACCUGAUUUCACUGCUCAGAAACACUAGGCCUAGCUUAGAAAUAUAAGUUUAGAUAUGAUAGAAACAAAACUACCAAAUGGAGUAUGUGAAACAUUAUCCAUACUCCAUUGUAUUUGUAUGCAUAUAUAUAUAUAUAUGUAACUCUGUAAAUUUUGCUUGUAGUAGGACAGAUAUAGUUCAUUUUGUCUGAACAAUAAAACACCUAGCUAGGUGCAUGUGGUUUUAUUUAUAGCACACUUUUUUUGUCCUUUAACAAAUGGUAGCAUUUGAGUAUUAAUUUUGUCUAUGGUACCCAAUUAGUAUUUGUCUAUGGUCUGUUGCCAAAUAAAUAUAUAAAAGGAACUGCAAGACCAAAUACUAUCCAUGUUACUGUUAGAAGCAUAUAUAAUUGUGUGUGUAUGCUGUGGUAUCCUCUAUAAUUGUGGGACAUGUGAUUGAAACCUGAGCUUCGAUUAUUGAAAGAGAGAAUGAUGACACCGGAAAGAAGCUCAACUUAAUGAUUAAUACUAUUAACUAUACUGUGAAUUGAGUAAAAACAAAACUAUAUUGUGAAUUGUACCGACAUUUUUAAAUUUUAUACUGUGAAUAGGUAUAAAAAAGAAAAUUAUUGGUAAUUAAUUUAUUAAAAACUAAUCUAUUGUGUAAAUAAAAAAUAGUCAUAUGUAUCUUUUCAUAAAUUAUUUGAUAUUUAAUAAUUAAUAAAAAAAUAAUACUUCAUCAUUCGUCAUAAACUAAGUACCAUUUUUAUUCAUUAUAUACUUAUUAAAAAAUAAUAUAAAUAAUAAUAGUAAUUUAAUAAAUUAUCUUUAUAAUUUUUAUGAAAUUAUCAUAUUAAAGAUAGAUGUGUUUAUCAUUAUAAAUGUAAAACAAAAAAUAUUCAAAAAAAUAUAUUAAAAUAUAAUAUUUUUAAAAUAAUAUAUAUAAUAAUUGUAGUUUAAAGAUAGUGUAUUGAUCUUGUACAAGAAUUUUACACUUUAAUUUCAUCUUAACUAUUUGAUCAUUGUUUCUUUAAAUUUUAAUCUAAUAACUAAACGGUACACUAGAUGGUAUAAUUAAGAAAUAAUAUCUAAUUUUAUAUUAAAAAUAACUGAGACCUAUAUAUUCCUUCAUUCCUUCAAAACUCUAAUUUCCCUUAAACCCUAAUUUCGGAAAAAUUUCCCCAAAUUCGACACUGGAACAUGAGAAGAGCCAAAGGAUGUACAACCUGUUCGCACACAAUCUCUGAGAGAUUCUAAGCGCAGGUAAUUCCAAUGAAGAUGUUGAUGAUGUUGAGGGGUUACCUUGCACGUUGAAAGAAAAUAAAAUUGAAGAGGUUGGACGCCGAUCUUGAGAGGCAUAGAACAAGACAUCCUCUAAUUUUAUUUUUAUUUUUUUUAUAAAUAACAACAAUAGAUUAAUCAAAUAAUAUUAAUAUAUUAUUAAAAUAUAUUUAAUUAAACAUAUGUGAUGUUUGAGAAACUGACGUCGACUUUUUCUCUUUAUUUUGAUUAUAUUUUCCAUAAUUUUUUUUAUAAGAAUAUAAUAAAAAGCAAUAAUCUUCCAAAUCGUUAAUCAUAUUAACAAUUAUACAAUUAAAGAUAAAAUAUAAUAAAUUAAUUCAACAAAUUCUAUAUAUAGAUAAAAAAAUUAUAAAUUGAAUCUAUUUUAUUUGAAUGAAUUGUGUGAUAUUCCAAAAACUUGUGUGAAUUGUAUGACGCAUGAAAAUUGUGUGACUCAUAAAAAUUGUAAAACAUGAGAAUUGAAUUUCUAAUCUUUUCAAUUUAUCUACUACGUACGAAUCGCGUCAAACUUUAAAAAAAACUAUAUCACUUUUAUAAACACGCUCCGGAACAUGCAUGGACGAGCGUUGUUCUGAUUAACAACGUUGAAGAAAAUAAAAUGCGGAUAGAGACAGGGGACAUGACAUCUCCUAAUUUUUUUUUUAUUUUUUUUAUAAAUAACGAAAAGCAAUAAAAGAUUAUUCAAUUGUUCUUAAAUAACAGUCCAAGUCGUUAAUCAUAUUAUAAAUUAUACAAUUAAACAGAUAAAAUAUAAUAAAUUAAUUCAACAAACUCUAUAUAUAGAUAAAAAAAAAUCAUAAAUUGAAUAUAUUUUAUUUGAAUGAAUUGUGUGAUAUUCCAAAAACUUGUGUAAAUUAUAUGACGCAUGAAAAUUGUGUGACUGGUAAAAAUUGUAAAACCUGAGUCUACUACCUACGAAUCGCAUCAAAUUUUAAAAAAAACUAUAUCACUUUUCUGAAUUUCAAUUAUAAUAGUUUAAUUAAUACUUAUAACUCUCUGACUCUGUAAAUAACAGAGUUAUCCUUCUUACUUUGAUCAAUCCUCACCUUUGAUUUUUAGCAGAAUGAGUUGUGAGAUGCUUCCCUUGUAAUGUGUUGACUCAUGUCAUAGGUACUAUGAGAGGUUAGUGGUCUGUAUCAUAUCCAUUUUAAUUAUAGUGAAUAAUAUCACAAUUAACCAUGUGAACAAAACAAGAAGGUUCUAUCAUCUAGAUUAACCGUAAUUAGUAUUAAAAACAAAACAAAUGAAAAAAUUCUACGCCUAGGUAAACCAUAAUUAGUAUUAAAUAUUGAUUUUGAUAAUAAUAUUAUUAUCAAAUUAUAAAACAUUUCUAAUUGUAUCUAAUAUUAAUUCUAUUAAUAAUUUCAUGAAUUAAAAUGAUCAAACUAAUAUGAUUUAAUGGCAACACUUUAUCUCUCUAAAUGCUACAUGUGGCCGUAUACAAGUAUUAAUUCAAAAACAAUUUCUUUUGAUAUCUAUAUUAUAUAAAAUUACAAAAAAAAAUCAUCAACUUUUAAUGAUAAUAUUUUAUCUCUCUUAAAUGCCACAUGAUAGUCUUAUACCAUACAAUCAUUUAUUUAAAACAAUUUUUUUCACAUUCAUUUCAAACAAUUUAAAAAUAGAAUCUACAAUAAAAAAGUUUGAUGAUUGGAGAUCAGAGUCAUCUUUUAGUAUAGAGAAUGAAGAUUUUGUAAACAAAAGAAAAAGGAGACCAAGUGUAAGUGAUGUUUUGAAGAGUAUGGGAAGAAGAUUUGAGAGUGGAUCAGAGAAGAUGAAGAAAUUCAGAAGACCUUCUUCAAUAGUCCAUCCUGUAAGUGAAGGACAAACAAAGAAACCGACUUAUUCUAAGCGAAAAAUUCUUGAUCCACAAGGGCCAAUGCUUCAGAAAUGGAACAAAAUCUUUGUACUCACAUGUGUUAUGGCAAUUUCAAUGGACCCUCUUUUCUUUUACAUUCCAGUGAUUGUUGGUAGAGAAAAAUGUCUUGAUUUGGAUGGAACAUUGCAGACUACUGCUAGUGUUCUUCGCACCUUCUUCGAUCUUUUCUACAUUCUUCGCAUCAUCUUUCAAUUUAGAACCGGAUUUAUUGCACCUUCUUCUCGUGUUUUCGGAAGGGGUGAGCUCAUUGAUGAUCCUGUCGCGAUAAUUAAAAGAUACUUGAGUUCUCAUUUCAUCAUUGACAUUCUAUCAAUUCUUCCAAUUCCACAGGUAUCUCUCACUUCAACUCAUUCUUUAAGUAUAUUUUCCAAUGACAAAUACCAAUACUUAUUCUGAUCCUCUGAAGCCUUGCAGCUCUCUCAAGCCAAAUGUUGACAGGUCAAUUAAUGUAAAGGCUGAGAGUCUCUCAUAGUUUGGAUUAUCUAUUGGCUGUUACAUUAUUCCAACGACCAACAUUUAACUAGAGAGAGUGUCAGGGAUUCAAAUGAUCCAUGUCAUAACCCAAGUAAGCCUAAGAAGAAUGAUUUAGGCCCAUGUGGCUCAAGGACUAGAAGUUCCCUUAGAUGAUGAGUCCCCAGUUUCUAGAAUGAGCUAGAUAAGUCCCAUUAUGAUGAGUCAUACUGUGUUAUAGUGCAGCCAAUAUGCCAAUUUUUGUUAUGCUUAGCUUGUAUAAGUCCCAUUACAAUCCAAGUUGAGUACUAUGGCAGAAAAGUUAAUUGAUUUGUCAUAAUAAUAUUCUUAACAUGAUUUUGUUGUUGUUUUGACAUUUCAGGUUAUAGUUUUGGCUAUAAUUCCACACCUGAAAAAUUCAGGUCCAUUUGCAGCAAAGGAUUGGUUGAAGUAUACAGUAUUAAUUCAGUAUGUGCCUAGACUCCUGCGGAUUCGUCCACUAUUCAAAGAAGUAACUAGAACUUCAGGCAUAUUAACAGAGACAGCAUGGGCUGGGGCUGUUUACAAUCUUUUACUCUACAUGCUAGCAAGUCAUGUAAAUUGAUUUAAUUGCAUUCUUCAGAUUCAAUUAUCUAAUAAAUGGUCCUAGUUACUAUGACAAAAUGUUAUGAUAACCAAAUUAUUGUGUGUGGCUGUGGCAUUUCAGGUGGUUGGAGCUAACUGGUAUCUGCUUUCAGUAGAAUCACAGGUGCGGUGCUGGCGCCGAGAGAUGAAGAAUGCAUCGCUCUUUCAUGACUCAUACUUGGGUUGUGGACGCCAAAAUGAUACGGUCUCCUUACUUCUCAAUAGUACAUGUCUUUUGGUUGACCCUGAUCAAAUCAAUGACUCAUACACCUUCAAUUUUGGAAUAUUUUUCGAUGCUCAACAAUCCCGUGUGAUAGAUGCAACAACUGAUUUUCCUCAGAAGUUCUUCUACUGUUUUUGGUGGGGUUUGCGCGGUUUAAGGUUGGUGAAUGAUACUUUGUGUUCUUCUCUUAAUUUUGCCUUCAUCAUAUAACCUUUAGUGGAGCUAACAUGUAGGAAACAAAACAAAAAAAUACGAGACUAAUAACAUG